rnacentral:rRNA from 1 species
AUUGAACGCUGGCGGCAGGCCUAACACAUGCAAGUCGAGCGGAUGAAGGGAGCUUGCUCCUGGUUUCAGCGGCGGACGGGUGAGUAAUGCCUAGGAAUCUGCCUGGUAGUGGGGGAUAACGUCUGGAAACGGGCGCUAAUACCGCAUACGUCCAGCGGGAGAAACAGGGGGGUGUUUGGACCUUACGCUCUCAGAUGAGCCUAGGUGGGAUUAGUUAGUUGGUGGGGUAAAGGCCUACCAAGGCGAGGAUCCGUAACUGGUCUGAGAGGAUGAUCAGUCACACGAGAACGGAAACACGGUCCAUACUCCUGCGGUAGGCAGCAGUGGGGAAUAGUGGACAGUGGGCGAAAGCCUGGUCCAGCCAUGGCGCGUGUGUGAAGAAGGUCUUCGGAUUGUAAAGCACGUUAAGUUGGGAGGAAGGGCAGUAAGUUAAGACCUUGCUGGUUUGACGUUACCAACAGAAUAAGCACCGGCUAACUUCGUG